GCACUGGUCCUAGAAGGCCAACUCCUUCCCCUGCUCCCCUGAAAGGUAUUGGGAUGGACCAACUCAAAGUGCUGGCUCCAGGCCUGGAUGGUAUCUGAGUUAGCCAGCCCUGGUGGGCUGGCGGUCAGGCAAGCCAGUGGACAGUUACCGGUGCCUAAGAUGCUACUGCUACUAUGUCUCUGCUGACUCUGUGUCCUUCGACUUCGUCGGAUUCGCCUAUCAGUUGUAACAACUUUUAUUGGAGUAUUUACCUUUCUAUAUAAAAUGAUGUCAAAUCGAAACUCGGA